UACGUAGGGGGCGAGCGUUAUCCGGAAUUAUUGGGCGUAAAGAGUACGUAGGCGGUUUCGUAAGCGCAAGGUGAAAGGCAGUGGCUCAACCAUUGUAAGCCUUGCGAACUGUGAGACUUGAGUUCAGGAGAGGAAAGCGGAAUUCCUAGUGUAGCGGUGAAAUGCGUAGAUAUUAGGAGGAACACCAGUGGCGAAGGCGGCUUUCUGGACUGAAACUGACGCUGAGGUACGAAAGCGUGGGGAGCAAACAGGAUUAGAUACCCUGGUAGUCCACGCCGUAAACGAUGAGCACUAGGUGUCGGGCUCGCGAGAGUUCGGUGCCGUAGUUAACGCAUUAAGUGCUCCGCCUGGGGAGUACGCACGCAAGUGUGAA
rnacentral:rRNA from 1 species